UGGAUGAGCUCCUUACCUGUAAGAACCUGCCUUUGUAGUGUCCACACAGAUUGUCUGAUGAAAAGUAAAUAGCAAGGCGUCUUGCGAUUGAGACUUCAGUGUCCCCUUCGUCUAGAGGCCCAGGACACCGCCCUUUCACGGCGGUAACAGGGGUUCGAAUCCCCUAGGGGACGCCACUUGCUGGUUUGUGAGUGAAAGUCGCCGACCUCUGUAUCUCAAAGCUGAUUGCGCUGUGUAAACAGUCAGUCAUGUUUGAGAUAUUUGCUCUUUAAAAAUCUGGAUCAAGCUGAAAAUUGAAACGACACACUGUGUCUGCUCUCCGUAAUAAGAGCAGAUGAGCGGUGUGUUCGAGUCUCUCAAAUUUUCGCAACACUGCGGGUGUUUUACGAAACAUCUUCGGGUUGUGAGGUUAAGCGACUAAGCGUACA
rnacentral:misc_RNA from 1 species